GCCGGAGUGGUGGAAUUGGCAGACACGCCAGCUUGAGGGGCUGGUUCGGGCAACCGAGUGCAGGUUCAAGUCCUGUCUCCGGCA
rnacentral:tRNA from 1 species